CUGCCUCAGACAAAGGAUGCCCUGGGAGCCUCCCCACACCUACGGCCGCUUUGAAGGCUCUGCCAAGCUCACUUUUAAUCACGAGAAAGGAAUUACCCACAUGGAGUCAGCAGAAAAUGAGAAAGUAGAGCUCGUGCUGCGAAUCAUUCCAGCAAGUGCCAAGGGGCUAGUUGAGGAAUGGCUUCAACGAGG
ensembl:misc_RNA